UGGGGAAUAUUGCACAAUGGGCGCAAGCCUGAUGCAGCCAUGCCGCGUGUGUGAAGAAGGCCUUCGGGUUGUAAAGCACUUUCAGCGGGGAGGAAGGCGAUAAGGUUAAUAACCUCAUCGAUUGACGUUACCCGCAGAAGAAGCACCGGCUAACUCCGUGCCAGCAGCCGCGGUAAUACGGAGGGUGCAAGCGUUAAUCGGAAUUACUGGGCGUAAAGCGCACGCAGGCGGUCUGUCAAGUCGGAUGUGAAAUCCCCGGGCUCAACCUGGAACUGCAUUCGAAACUGGCAGGCUAGAGUCUUGUAGAGGGGGGUAGAAUUCCAGGUGUAGCGGUGAAAUGCGUAGAGAUCUGGAGGAAUACCGGUGGCGAAGGCGGCCCCCUGGACAAAGACUGACGCUCAGGUGCGAAAGCGUGGGGAGCAAACAGG
rnacentral:rRNA from 1 species